GGAACCGUGCCCGAGUGACUAGGGAUUACUUUGAUAGAGUAAAUAAUAGGGGUUAAAAUCCCCUCAGUUCUU
rnacentral:tRNA from 1 species